GAUCACGGUGAUGAAAGACUGGUUCCUUAACAUUCGCAGUUUCCACGGUAGGAGUACGCUUACGAACCCAUCGUUAGUACUCUCGGUGACCGCUCUUCUUUAGAGACCUUCCUAGGAUGUCUGAGUGA
rnacentral:snoRNA from 1 species